CUUCUUAAGUUAUUUAGAUACAUGUACUGUGCUGGGUCAUGGAAAUCUAGAAUACGCCUUUUUAUUAUUCGGGCAUGAGUCUGACGCAUAUAAAAAAGGAACAAAAUUAAAUUAAUAAUAAGAAGAGUUAGUAAAAUUUUAACAACUAUUAUUUAUUACUUUAAAUAAAUUAAAGAAUUAUUGGCAACUAUCAUAAUAUAACAACAAGACACAAUAUACAUAUAUAUCAUUGGAAAGUUCAAAUCUUUUUUUUUAUCAGAGUCAGAAUGAAUAUUUUUUAUGUCACUCAGAUCAAGGCCAUCAAAUUUCACAAAGGAAUAAAUCCUAAUUUUUUUUUUUCUGCCUCCAGUACUUGGCGCACGGAUACAAAAUAGUUUGCACCAGACAAUUGACGGUACCAACUAAAUCGAGCUCCGAUAAAGUCGUUUUUUACCUGCUCUGGAAGUAAGUAUUCGAAGCCACAAUCUAUUUGAAGAAAUGUUGCAAGUUUUGUAGUAGCAUCUGUACUUUGGUUAACUGCAGCGAAAGUUUCUUUAGUGAUGCCCAUUUUGUGAGAGGUAGAUUCACACGCUAUACCAAAUACAAUGAAACAUUUUUAUACAAAAAUAAAUAUAGUAAUUAUGAGAAGAAAUAAAAUAAGUCUUAUUUCUAUCAUACUUUAAA
rnacentral:lncRNA from 1 species